AACGAACGCUGGCGGCGCGUCUUAAGCAUGCAAGUCGGACGGCAAGGGUAGCAAUACCCCUAGAGUGGCGGACUGGUGAGUAACGCGUGGGUGACCUACCCUUGAGAUGGGGAUAGCCAUUAGAAAUAGUGGAUAAUACCGAAUACGCUCACGACCCUGUGGGGAUGUGAGGAAAUCAGGCUACGGCCUGGCUCGAGGAUGGGCCCGCGUCCCAUUAGCUAGUUGGUGAGGUAAAAGCCCACCAAGGCGACGAUGGGUAUCCGGCCUGAGAGGGUGUACGGACACAUUGGGACUGAGAUACGGCCCAAACUCCUACGGGAGGCAGCAGCUAAGAAUAUUCCGCAAUGGACGAAAGUCUGACGGAGCGACGCCGCGUGGAUGAAGAAGGCCGAAAGGUUGUAAAAUCCUUUUGCUGAUGAAGAAUAAGUGUGGUAGGGAAUGACCGCAUGAUGACAUUAGUCGGUGAAUAAGCCCCGGCUAACUACGUGCCAGCAGCCGCGGUAA
rnacentral:rRNA from 1 species